rnacentral:tmRNA from 1 species
GGGGGUGACCCGGUUUCGACAGGGGAACUGAAGGCGCUGCUGCGUGUCGAGGUGCCGUGGGCCUCGUAAAAAAACGGCAAAGCCUUUAAUUGGCAACCAGAACUACCAACUCGCUGCAUAAGUGAGCAGUGACCGUCUAGCCCGGCCUUUGGCGAGGCGCGAACUGAGACAAAAGAAGGCUAGCCCAGGCAAGGUUCCAUAGCUGACGGCGAAAAUAAGUGGAACUACGGUUAAGGGAAACCCGCCCGCUGGUGGCCCAAGACCCGACAAUUAAACAGCGGGAUACACACGUAGACGCACGUUGAACGAACCUUUGGACGGCGGUUCGACUCCGCCCACCUCCACCA